UCGGACGUGGUGUACGGAACACCGCCGGGUAUUGUGGGGAUUCGGAUAACUAAACGCGCAAACUGGCAGUCCGGGGUUCGACUCCCCGCGUCCGAA